GAUAAGGGGAUAACGGGAUAAGGGGAUAACGGGAUAAGGGGAUAACGGGAUAAGGGGAUAACGGGAUAAGGGGAUAACGGGAUAAGGGGAUAACGGGAUAACGGGAUAACGGGAUAAUGGGAUAACGGGAUAACGGGAUAAUAGGAUAAUGGGAUAACGGGAUGGAGCAGAAACGCUGUGGAAUUUCCAUGUGGGAUCUCGCUGUGCUGGGGCGGUGCACACAGGAUAUUUCCCCUGUGGGAUCUCCCUGGGAUGGGAUGGGAUGGGACGGAGCACAAACACGGGCUGUUUCUGUGUGCUGGGGCUGUGCACACGGGCUGUUUCUGUGUGCUGGGGCUGUGCACACGGGCUGUUUCUGUGUGCAGGGGCUGUGCACACGGGCUGUUCCCCCUGCGGGGUCCCCGUGGUGCAGGACCCCUCCCCACCCUUGCCGUGUCCCCAGCGCUGCAGCAGCGGCUGUGCCGGCAGCAGCGGGAGCAGCAGCGGCUGCAGGAGGCCGUGGCCAGCCUGGAGAGCAGCCUGGGGGAGCGGGAGCAGCUGCUGGAGCAGGUGAGGCUGAGCCACGGCCAGUUCCUCUCCCUGUCCCUGUGCCCAUGUCCUGUGUCCCUCUCCCUGUCCCUUUCACUGUCCCUGUCCCUGCCCUUGACUCAUCCGUGUCCCUGGCACAUCCCCAUCCCUGUCCCUGUUCCUACCCCAUGUCCCCUGUCACUGUCCUGUGUCCCCUAUCUCACGUCCGCUGUCCCUGUUCCCUCACUGUCCCCAUCCCAAUCCCUGUCCCUAUCCCUAUCCUGUCUCUUAUCUCAUGUCUCUGUUCCUAUCCUGUGUCCCUGUCCUUAUCCUGUCUCCUGUCCCCAUCCCCUCCCUGUCCCAUCCCUGUCCCUGUCCUCUCACUGUCCCUGUCCCAUCCCUGACCCUGUCUCCUCCUGUCCCUAUCCUGNGGGAUAAUGGGAUAACGGGAUAACGGGAUAAUAGGAUAAUGGGAUAACGGGAUGGAGCAGAAACGCUGUGGAAUUUCCAUGUGGGAUCUCGCUGUGCUGGGGCGGUGCACACAGGAUAUUUCCCCUGUGGGAUCUCCCUGGGAUGGGAUGGGAUGGGACGGAGCACAAACACGGGCUGUUUCUGUGUGCUGGGGCUGUGCACACGGGCUGUUUCUGUGUGCUGGGGCUGUGCACACGGGCUGUUUCUGUGUGCAGGGGCUGUGCACACGGGCUGUUCCCCCUGCGGGGUCCCCGUGGUGCAGGACCCCUCCCCACCCUUGCCGUGUCCCCAGCGCUGCAGCAGCGGCUGUGCCGGCAGCAGCGGGAGCAGCAGCGGCUGCAGGAGGCCGCCCCCCCCCCCCCCCCCCCCCCCCCCCCCCCCCCCCCCCCCCCCCCCCCCCCCCCCCCCCCCCCCCCC
rnacentral:lncRNA from 12 species